AAGAAGCUCACAAGUAUCCUAAUCCUAAAGGGUUCCAAUGUUUCAAGUGCCAAGGUUAGGGACAUAAAGCCAAUGAAUGUCCAAACCGGCGCAAUGUGAUCCUAAGGGAAGGGAGAUUGUAUUACCUUGGUGAGGAAGUGGGUCUUGAAAAAGAAGAGAAGGAGGCCGAGCCUCAAGAUGGAGAGAAACCCAAAAAUGAGCCUCAUGAUGAUGAUG
rnacentral:lncRNA from 1 species